rnacentral:rRNA from 1 species
GACGAACGCUGGCGGCGUGCUUAACACAUGCAAGUCGAACGGAAAGGCCCAGCUUGCUGGGUGCUCGAGUGGCGAACGGGUGAGUAACACGUGGGUGAUCUGCCUCUAACUUCGGGAUAAGCUUGGGAAACUGGGUCUAAUACCGGAUAGGACAAUCGUUUAGUGUCGGUUGUGGAAAGUUUUUUCGGUUAGGGAUGAGCCCGCGGCCUGUCAGCUUGUUGGUGGGGUAAUGGCCUACCAAGGCGUCGACGGGUAGCCGGCCUGAGAGGGUGGACGGCCACAUUGGGACUGAGAUACGGCCCAGACUCCUACGGGAGGCAGCAGUGGGGAAUAUUGCACAAUGGGCGCAAGCCUGAUGCAGCGACGCCGCGUGGGGGAUGACGGCCUUCGGGUUGUAAACCUCUUUCGACAGGGACGAAGCUUUGGUGACGGUACCUGUAUAAGAAGCACCGGCUAACUACGUG